AGAGAGAACUCAAAAUCCAACCCAUUCAAAUACUGAAAGUUUAGGAUACCUUCCCUAUUUAUUAAGUACACAGAUAUAACUUUCAGGUAUUUUAAUCUUUGUCUUGAUAUAACAAUGUCAUCAAGUUCAUACUUUCAAAUCUAUGACUGUCUAGAAAUCAUGCUGAACCAUCAAAGGCAGAUGAUCAAAACAAGUGGAUUAAGCCAAAUAAUAAUUUACAAUCCAAACCACAUACAUCAAUAAUUAUCUGAUAUUGAAAUUAACCCUGAUCCAGUGCAUAGGCCAGAUAUAAGAUGAAACAUGCAGAGAGAAAUAUUGUAGUGAAUGUUAAAUAACCAGGCAAAUGGAAAAGAAUAAUCUAUAACCAUUUAGACUCAUUUAGGUAGGUAAAAAUUUUCAAUCAUUUAAAAACAAUUAAAAUGAAUAGAAGCAACAUUUUAAACAAAUAGACUCCAAAUGUUAGCAUAAAAACAUCAGAGUUGGAUAAUGAAACAAGGAGUAAAGUCAAACCCACCCAUGGUACUGUGCUAGAAUCCAUAAACAUGAUAAAUACAAACCU
rnacentral:misc_RNA from 1 species